GUCCUGAAUUGCUGUUACUGACUUGCUGAAUCACUUUGGGUAAAUCAUCUUCUUUUUAAAAAUGAGAUUAUUAAUGUGUACAUUCAUUUGUAAAGCACCUUGAGGUGAAAUUUGCUAUUCUCUCAACAUUCACUGGAUGGUUCACAGGGAUCCCUUCCCCCCACUUACAGGUGAUCAAAGAAAACAGAAAGGGAGUCAGUUCUAGUGGAUUGAAUUCAGGAUCAAGAUCUCACACUGAAUUUUUGGGUGCGAGGUUGUGGAGGAGCUAAUGCUACAUUCUGCUUCAGUGAUUUUGUGAGAUCUCAUAUCCUGAGGAGGCCUGCUGCAGGCAGCACUGUAACGCCAGUUAAUGUAAUAAGAUUUGCUGAUGCUUGUGUACUAUCCAUUCCCACUGAGGCAAUUGAAAUCAUGAUGAAAGCCCCAGUAAUUGCUAAUAAGAAUGUUUUAAUUUAAAUGACAUAUAAUAUUAAGCACUUUAGUAUGUCUCACUGGAAACAUAAUAGUUGUG